rnacentral:rRNA from 1 species
UACGUAGGGCGCAAGCGUUGUCCGGAAUUAUUGGGCGUAAAGAGCUCGUAGGCGGUCUGUUACGUCCGCUGUGAAAACCCAGGGCUUAACCCUGGGCUUGCAGUGGAUACGGGCAGACUAGAGGCAGGUAGGGGAGAAUGGAAUUCCCGGUGUAGCGGUGAAAUGCGCAGAUAUCAGGAGGAACACCGGUGGCGAAGGCGGGUCUCUGGGCCGAUACUGACGCUGAGGAGCGAAAGCGUGGGGAGCAAACAGG